GGCUAAUCCUAUCUCCAAGUCUCUUAGACCCUAUGGCAUUCAUAAUUUGCUCGUUAAUAUUUACACUCACAUCUAUAUGCAAAUGAUAAAGACUGUCAAUUAAGAAAGUACGUGCAAUAACUUUUUUUCUGAAAUAAAUCGAACACAUAUCUUUAUUGAAAUAAAAAUUAUAACUAUCCUGUGCUAGUAUAGAUAUGGAAAUCAAAUUCUUACUGACAGUAGGUACAUAAUAGUAGUCUUUAAGAAUUAAACUAACUUCUAAUGGUAAUCACAGA
rnacentral:lncRNA from 1 species